GGAAGAGUAAGCCUAAUGCUAAGGCAGUAGUCUUGAAAACUACUAGUAACCAUAUAAAAGUGGUGUGUGGGUUGGAGUCCCACCUCUUCCUCA
rnacentral:tRNA from 1 species